GGGUACUCUUCGUGUACAAUUUAGCUAGCUUAAAGGUUAUCAUUUUCCCUGGGACCACCUGGACACCAAACCAGGUCCGUGGGACGUCCCCGACCCCCACAUUGAGAACCGCUUCUCAAGACUGCGGCGAUAAACGUUCAAAACCGAGGAAAACGCGAGCGGCUCCAUUCAUUCCGUGUGACUGCGGCUGCUGCAGGGGAAGCCAGGGGUUGCUGAGGAGCAGGAGGAGGAUGCCGGUGCGGCGUGCAUGGGAGAGCGUGGGCUCAGCGCUGCUCUCAAUGGCCCAACAAAAGGAGUUUCAACAUCCAGCUUAGACGAAUCAAACCGGACUGCGGCUGCCUCUGUGCACUCAAGCACCUGAAUUACUGUAUAUUGUUAUUUUAAUCAACGUGCAGUGUUUGAUGAACCUCUGACAAAGUUGCCGAAGCCUUAUGUUUACCAUGAAAUAAAAGAGUCACUAAGGCAGAAAAUGCAACAAUUCCCGAUACUGAGCUAUUCUCGCUGUUCCUGCCGAUUAACAUCAAAUUGACCUUUCACUCUCAUAAUGCAUGCUGUUUCAACAUUGCCCCAAUAUUACCCUAAGAAAACACGUGAACUCUACAUUUCAAUAGGCCUGUUUGCCCUUUCUCCAGCCUCGCAUUAGCAUCGAGAUUAUAACCCCCACUCACCCCGGGUUAGCGGCCGCUCUCCCUCACCCUGCGUUUGCCCAUCUCCUAAUGAUCAGCCUCUCUUUUCCAUCUUAAAAGCUGCAAUCCAGCUCAGGGAAGAAAGGCUCAGCUGGACGACAAUGGCAUGUUUUAAGGUGGCUCUGAGGUGCGGAGGCUGCAUAGCUGUGAAAAGUUACAACUGAGCCAAAACAAAACUGAAAAAAAAAACAGCAAGAUUUUGAAGAGCGUUUGCCGUGACAGGCGUGUGACACAGGCUGUGAGGGAUUGGUCUGCUUAAAGAAGGAGACGGCCAUUAAAAAUGGAGAUGAAGCACAAACAAUUAGGACUAAUGAAGCUUAUUUCCUUGUUGUGCUAUCGAUGGGUGUCUGUUACCUGUUUAAGGUGACUCCAGGGGUAAAGCUAAUGGAGAAACCCCACAGCUAGGGGCAAAGCGGACAUCUUGUGCCCAGAGCUGUUCAUCAUCCGCCGGGAGUGAGAAAUACAGAUCCAGAGGAAAAACACACAUGAUUCACAUGCUGCUCUGUGGAUUCAGAGAACCAUGAGCACAGUCUGGAGACACAUAAAUUACAUGAUUCAUGAAGGGCUUUGAAGUGGAUCAGAGAGCGAAAAGCAAAAAGUAACAUCCACAGUAUGUAUAGCAUACUUGCUACACUGUGUCCUAUUCAUAACCUCUGCAGCUUUGCCUUGCAUAUUAUUUAUUCUACACUAAAUUUAAAAAGAAAUGCUACCUGAACAUCUAAACAUGGUUUGACAGGGUGUUAAAGAGAUUAUUUCAUGAUCUUCCAUUUAUAAUUUAGCCACUUUUCUCCUUAGUUGUCAUUGUAUGUGCAUACAGUAGGAGCUGAGUUUUUUCUGGAGAAACUGGUGGAAAAAAGUCAGUGGGUAAAAGACCACGUGUCUUUCCAGGGAUGCAGCAUCUAUUAGGAUUACGUUUGUCUCAUUAAUCAAACAUUUACUGCAUCACAAUCUGCCACUUUUUUAACCAUUAACACUUUAUCUAACUGCGUAUUGGUAUUUCAAAAUUAAGAAUGGUAGAUUCACAUAUCCCACUGAUUUGUAUAGAAGUCCUGAAGCCAGGAUCAGUGACACCACCACGCGGCCUGCUAUGGUUUUUCAUACAUAUAAAUCAAGAAAUCAUGUUUAAAAUGAUGACAAACUGUAUAUUUAGCAACAACUCCACCCACCAAAACAAAACAAUAAAAUAGGUAUGAAAUCAACACGUAUGUUUGAAAUUAAAGCCCUACCAGCAUAAUGUCAUUAGGUGAGAGGUGGGAUAAACCCGAAACAUGUCGAUAGGUCCACACAAUCGUUCACAUUAACAGGCUCUUCCAGUGUCACUAAUCUGAUUUACAUGUCUUUAAGCUGAGCAUGGAAACCCACACAGGCACAAGGAGAACACGCAGAACUCCACAGAGAGCAGCCGCAGGGGGCCGCAGGGUGUAACCCAUGGCUGGGAGGCGCUGGGAGUGCGAGCAUUAAGCUGCUCCUUCACUGUCCUAAAGCUGUAAAGAAAAACAACAAAACGCAGACAACACGUCAAGAAAGCAACAAAGUACCGAAAACACAAGCAAGAGCCACAGUAAGAAGGAAGUGAAAAGGAGCAUGUGCCGUCUAUGUUUGUUGAGUCAUUUGUGUAGACGACAUGUAAGGUGAAACCUCUGGGCUUUGAAUCAGAGGAGCCGACACCAAGUCGGGACACUGCCUAGAGAUGGAGUAGGUCUUUGUGUUGCUCAUGCUGACGUGACCUCACAUCAGUGAUAAAGUAGAAAAGAGGAAUAAAGCAAACGUGUUGAAGAUUUCCACUUACAGGUAAAAUGAUCGGGAAAUUCCAUUGUGUUUCAGUUAAUGUUUCAGGUUUGUGUUUUUUUCAUGUACGCUUUGCAGCACAGGGUUGUGUAACACUGCAUCACAGGUGCAGGUAAGAUCCACAGCAUUACAAUAGAGUCUGUUUUACUCUGUAAAGGUCUCUAUAGCGAAGCCUUUCUUACAGACAGGACGCUCCAAAGUUCCAGCUUUUUUUUCUCUUUGUUGUCUCUUGUUGCCAGGCCACUACCAAUAAUGAGUCCCACAACAUUAUGAAGGCACUUAGUUUUAUAUUCUUUUGUGUUUAUCUUUCCAACAGUUCUCUUAAUAUCUUUUUUUUUUUAAAUAUAGAUUUAAUAUUAAAAACCUUUAAUCUCAACAUCUCAACCCUGGGUUUUAAGAGAUUUAAUAUGGAUCUUUCUAUCAUUUAUUGUGCUGGAGAAAUUACAAAUACUUUGUUUAUUCACAGUCACAUU